AUUGAACGCUGGCGGCAGGCCUAACACAUGCAAGUCGAACGGUAACAGGAAGAAGCUUGCUUCUUUGCUGACGAGUGGCGGACGGGUGAGUAAUGUCUGGGAAACUGCCUGAUGGAGGGGGAUAACUACUGGAAACGGUAGCUAAUACCGCAUAACGUCGCAAGACCAAAGAGGGGGACCUUCGGGCCUCUUGCCAUCGGAUGUGCCCAGAUGGGAUUCGCUAGUAGGUGGGGUAACGGCUCACCUAGGCGACGAUCCCUAGCUGGUCUGAGAGGAUGACCAGCCACACUGGAACUGAGACACGGUCCAGACUCCUACGGGAGGCAGCAGUGGGGAAUAUUGCACAAUGGGCGCAAGCCUGAUGCAGCCAUGCCGCGUGUAUGAAGAAGGCCUUCGGGUUGUAAAGUACUUUCAGCGGGGAGGAAGGGAGUAAAGUUAAUACCUUUGCUCAUUGACGUUACCCGCAGAAGAAGCACCGGCUAACUCCGUG
rnacentral:rRNA from 1 species